rnacentral:rRNA from 1 species
ACGAACGCUGGCGGCGUGCCUAAUACAUGCAAGUCGAACGAAACUUUCUUACACCGAAUGCUUGCAUUCACCGUAAGAAGUUGAGUGGCGGACGGGUGAGUAACACGUGGGUAACCUGCCUAAAAGAAGGGGAUAACACUUGGAAACAGGUGCUAAUACCGUAUAUCUCUAAGGAUCGCAUGAUCCUUAGAUGAAAGAUGGUUCUGCUAUCGCUUUUAGAUGGACCCGCGGCGUAUUAACUAGUUGGUGGGGUAACGGCCUACCAAGGUGAUGAUACGUAGCCGAACUGAGAGGUUGAUCGGCCACAUUGGGACUGAGACACGGCCCAAACUCCUACGGGAGGCAGCAGUAGGGAAUCUUCCACAAUGGACGCAAGUCUGAUGGAGCAACGCCGCGUGAGUGAAGAAGGUCUUCGGAUCGUAAAACUCUGUUGUUAGAGAAGAACACGAGUGAGAGUAACUGUUCAUUCGAUGACGGUAUCUAACCAGCAAGUCACGGCUAACUACGUGCCAGCAGCCGCGGUAAUACGUAGGUGGCAAGCGUUGUCCGGAUUUAUUGGGCGUAAAGGGAACGCAGGCGGUCUUUUAAGUCUGAUGUGAAAGCCUUCGGCUUAACCGGAGUAGUGCAUUGGAAACUGGAAGACUUGAGUGCAGAAGAGGAGAGUGGAACUCCAUGUGUAGCGGUGAAAUGCGUAGAUAUAUGGAAGAACACCAGUGGCGAAAGCGGCUCUCUGGUCUGUAACUGACGCUGAGGUUCGAAAGCGUGGGUAGCAAACAGGAUUAGAUACCCUGGUAGUCCACGCUGUAAACGAUGAUUACUAGGUGUGGGGGGUCUGACCCCUUCCGUGCCGGAGUUAACACAAUAAGUAAUCCACCUGGGGAGUACGACCGCAAGGUUGAAACUCAAAGGAAUUGACGGGGGCCCGCACAAGCGGUGGAGCAUGUGGUUUAAUUCGAAGCAACGCGAAGAACCUUACCAGGUCUUGACAUCCUUUGACCACCUAAGAGAUUAGGCUUUCCCUUCGGGGACAAAGUGACAGGUGGUGCAUGGCUGUCGUCAGCUCGUGUCGUGAGAUGUUGGGUUAAGUCCCGCAACGAGCGCAACCCUUGUUGUCAGUUGCCAGCAUUAAGUUGGGCACUCUGGCGAGACUGCCGGUGACAAACCGGAGGAAGGUGGGGACGACGUCAAGUCAUCAUGCCCCUUAUGACCUGGGCUACACACGUGCUACAAUGGACGGUACAACGAGUCGCGAGACCGCGAGGUUUAGCUAAUCUCUUAAAGCCGUUCUCAGUUCGGAUUGUAGGCUGCAACUCGCCUACAUGAAGUCGGAAUCGCUAGUAAUCGCGAAUCAGCAUGUCGCGGUGAAUACGUUCCCGGGCCUUGUACACACCGCCCGUCACACCAUGAGAGUUUGUAACACCCAAAGCCGGUGGGGUAACCGCAAGGAGCCAGCCGUCUAAGGUGGGACAGAUGAUUGGGGUG